rnacentral:rRNA from 1 species
UACGUAGGGUGCAAGCGUUGUCCGGAUUUAUUGGGCGUAAAGAGCGUGUAGGCGGUUUGGUAGGUCCGCUGUGAAAACUCGAGCUCAACCUCGAGACGCCGGUGGAAACCAUCAGACUAGAGUCCGGAAGAGGAGAGUGGGAAUUCCUGGUGUAGCGGUGAAAUGCGCAGAUAUCAGGAAGAACACCCGUGGCUAAGGCGGCUCUCUAGUACGGUACUGGACGCUGAGACGCGAAAGCGUGGGGAGCGAACAGG